GACAGAGGGUGCAAACGUUGCUCGGAAUUACUGGGCGUAAAGCGCGUGUAGGUGGAUUGGUGUGUCAGAUGUGAAAUCCCUGGGCUCAACCCAGGAACUGCACCUGAAACUACCAGUCUUGAGUGGUGGAGAGGGAAGUGGAAUUCCUGGUGUAGAGGUGAAAUUCGUAGAUAUCAGGAGGAACACCAGUGGCGAAGGCGGCUUCCUGGACACCAACUGACGCUGAGACGCGAAAGCGUGGGGAGCAAACGGG
rnacentral:rRNA from 1 species